rnacentral:rRNA from 1 species
GGAGGGAUCAUUACCGAGUUAUCAACUCCCAAACCCCUGUGAACAUACCUUUAACGUUGCCUCGGCGGGACCGCCCCGGCGCCCACUCGCGGCCCGGACCCAGGCGCCCGCCGGAGGACCCAAACUCUUGCUUUGAACAGUGGCAUACUCUCUGAGUCUCACAAACAAAAAUGAAUCAAAACUUUCAACAACGGAUCUCUUGGCUCUGGCAUCGAUGAAGAACGCAGCGAAAUGCGAUAAGUAAUGUGAAUUGCAGAAUUCAGUGAAUCAUCGAAUCUUUGAACGCACAUUGCGCCCGCCAGCAUUCUGGCGGGCAUGCCUGUCCGAGCGUCAUUUCAACCCUCAGGACCCCUUCGGGGGACCUGGUGUUGGGGGCCGGCCGCCUCGCGCGCCGCCCCCGAAAUGCAGUGGCGACCUCGCCGCAGCCUCCCCUGCGUAGUAGCACAACCUCGCACCGGAGCGCGGAGACGGUCACGCCGUAAAACGCCCAACUUUCACGAGUUGACCUCGGAUCAGGUAGGAAUACCCGCUGA